GCCCAGCUAGUGUAGUGGUAAAGUGCCUAACAAUAAAUAUGUAUAUAUCUAGAGGACCUUGGUUCAAAUCCUGGUCUGGUCA